rnacentral:rRNA from 1 species
UGAGGAAUAUUGGUCAAUGGGCGCAAGCCUGAACCAGCCAUGCCGCGUGCAGGAAGACGGUCCUAUGGAUUGUAAACUGCUUUUAUUUGGGAAUAAACCUCUUUACGUGUAGUGUGCUGAAUGUACCGAAGGAAUAAGGAUCGGCUAACUCCGUGCCAGCAGCCGCGGUAAUACGGAGGAUCCAAGCGUUAUCCGGAUUUAUUGGGUUUAAAGGGUCCGCAGGCGGUCUUAUAAGUCAGUGGUGAAAGCCUACAGCUCAACUGUAGAACUGCCAUUGAUACUGUAAGACUUGAAUUCGAUAGAAGUGGGCGGAAUAUGACAUGUAGCGGUGAAAUGCUUAGAUGUGUCAUAGAACACCGAUAGCGAAGGCAGCUCACUAGGUCUGGAUUGACGCUCAGGGACGAAAGCGUGGGGAGCAAACA